UUGGCUGGUUCCCACGCAGGCGCGAUUUAUGCAAAAGAAGCCCAUUUUUCCACGCUGAUUUGCUUUUGUCCAACACAUCUGCGGAGUGUGUACGGUGGACAGGCCCUCGGGAGGUGAUCUUGUGAACACUUGCUGAGGAUCCUUGAUGCCGAGUGCAGGAUGUUUCCUACCAGUUUGAAGCCAUGUCUGACUGAAGGGUUCCGAGGUGGAAUGUUCUGCGCUGGCCGAUGGCGGCGUCGGGGGGGGGGGGGCACUGCACCGCAUGCCCAUGGUGACGAGGAAACAGCUGACGCAGGCAACAACGGCAUAGACCAACAUCUGAAGGAUGACAGUGGAAAAAGUUUGGACACCCCUGCCAUAUGGUCUCCACAUCAAAGGUCCAUUUCCCUACGAAGACCAUGCAUCCUGCCCAUCAACCAAUGGCCUCAGCAGCCAAGUUUGAUCACUCUAUGGAGGCUGUACACCCCUCCCAUCCCCACACCGCUGGCCCAUCACCAAAUGUCCACACCUAUGGUCCUUCACCCGGCGUACACAAUAGCUUGCUACCUGAAUCCACCUGAGAAUAAAAAGGCAGCUUUCCUGGCACCAGACAGGAGAGAUGCAGGCAACCCAUCUAUUGAGGACACUAUCUGUUAUCAACCACAGGCAGAAAAAUCAUGGACGCCAUGUGAUGGAAAAAAUGUGGGCAGAAAAAGAAGGAAUUGAAGAAGUCCUCUUGAAAAUAGAUCCGGUCCAAGUCAGAGUACUUCAAACUCUCUGCGACUUGGUUGGAGACAAAUACAGCGACGGCCCUCCUCAACAAUCGGGCCAGCAAGAGCUCUUUCCUGAGAGCGGCGUAUUCAUAUCAUUGUUCCGCCUUGCUGCCAUGAGACAUGCUGCAGAGCCCAAAUGUAGGCCUUUAUUUGGACCUCUUUUUUCUACGUGUCAAAAUGCUGUCCCUUUUUGACGCCCUGGAAACAAACCUGCAGGAACACCAAAGCGCAUCCUUAAGCGGAAAAAAGUGGAAGGAAUCCUUAGUAAGUUUUCCCAAACAGAGGGUGUUUUCAGGCCAAAAUUGGGUCACAAUAAUGAAAUAGAAGUUCAAUAUGAGAAAUGUUGAUCCCUUUUCGAUUACAGCAGACUGGAAGCAUAACUGAAUGUUACAUCAUUACAAUUUGUUAUCCACUCCAAACUAGCGUUAUGAUGAGCAAUAUAGUCUGAUGUCCAUCAACUUGAAGUGUGGUUGUGUGUAUUAAUGGUUUUGCGUAAAUGAAGGCUUUAAAGGGCAAUAAAAAAGCAUUAAAUGAGGCAUUUAAAGAAGGGAAUAUGAUUGUAGGACAUGGCGGACAGUCAAUAUGUCAAACGGUAAAGGAAAAUGAACUUAAGAAGGUUACAGUCGUUUCUUUUUUGAACUGCAUACAAGAGGUAUUGUAAGGUGGGAACACGACAAAAGCACUGCUUCAAUCAAGCAAAAUGAAACAUCAACUUUUCCAUUCUUUGGUCACUGUAGGCGUGUAGUCCUUAACUGUGACACCAUGUCAGGAUAAUGGAGAAGCUGAGCCGACACGGAGUCGUUUAUUUCAAU